rnacentral:miRNA from 1 species
CGAUUGUGGGUAAUGUAGUCCAGUAUUGGUUACUGUAUUUACCAAUACUGGACUACAUUACCCACAAUCUAU